UGGGGAAUAUUGCACAAUGGGGGAAACCCUGAUGCAGCGAUGCCGCGUGAGGGAAGACGGUUUUCGGAUUGUAAACCUCUGUCUUUGGUGAAGAAUUUUGACGGUAGCCAAAGAGGAAGCCACGGCUAACUACGUGCCAGCAGCCGCGGUAAUACGUAGGUGGCGAGCGUUGUCCGGAAUUACUGGGUGUAAAGGGAGCGUAGGCGGGGAUAUAAGUUAGGUGUUAAAUCUAUCGGCUCAACCGGUAGUCGCACUUAAAACUGUAUCUCUUGAGUGAAGUAGAGGCAAGUGGAAUUCCCGGUGUAGCGGUGGAAUGCGUAGAUAUCGGGAGGAACACCAGUGGCGAAGGCGACUUGCUGGGCUUUAACUGACGCUGAGGCUCGAAAGCGUGGGUAGCAAACA
rnacentral:rRNA from 1 species